rnacentral:rRNA from 1 species
UACGUAGGGUGCAAGCGUUAAUCGGAAUUACUGGGCGUAAAGCGUGCGCAGGCGGUUUUGUAAGUCAGAUGUGAAAUCCCCGGGCUUUAACCUGGGAACUGCGUUUGAAACUACAAGACUAGAAUAUGUCAGAGGGGGGGUAGAAUUCCACGUGUAGCAGUGAAAUGCGUAGAGAUGUGGAGGAAUACCAAAUGGCGAAGGCAGCCCCCUGGGAUAAUAUUGACGCUCAUGGCACGAAAGCGUGGGGAGCAAACAGG